rnacentral:rRNA from 1 species
CCUACGGGUGGCAGCAGUGAGGAAUAUUGGUCAAUGGACGAGAGUCUGAACCAGCCAAGUAGCGUGAAGGAUGACUGCCCUAUGGGUUGUAAACUUCUUUUAUAUGGGAAUAAAAUGUUCCACGUGUGGGAUUUUGUAUGUACCAUAUGAAUAAGGAUCGGCUAACUCCGUGCCAGCAGCCGCGGUAAUACGGAGGAUCCGAGCGUUAUCCGGAUUUAUUGGGUUUAAAGGGAGCGUAGGUGGAUUGUUAAGUCAGUUGUGAAAGUUUGCGGCUCAACCGUAAAAUUGCAGUUGAAACUGGCAGUCUUGAGUACAGUAGAGGUAGGCGGAAUUCGUGGUGUAGCGGUGAAAUGCUUAGAUAUCACGAAGAACUCCAGUUGCGAAGGCGGCUCACUGGACUGCAACUGACACUGAGGCUCGAAAGCGUGGGGAGCAAACAGGAUUAGAUACCCUUGUAGUC